UACGGAGGGUGCGAGCGUUAAUCGGAAUUAUUGGGCGUAAAGCGCACGCAGGCGGUUUGUUAAGCUAGAUGUGAAAGCCCCGGGCUCAACCUGGGAUGGUCAUUUAGAACUGGCAGACUAGAGUCUUGGGGAGGGGAGUGGAAUUCCAGGUGUAGCGGUGAAAUGCGUAGAUAUCUGGAGGAACAUCAGUGGCGAAGGCGACUCCCUGGCCAAAGACUGACGCUCAUGUGCGAAAGUGUGGGUAGCGAACAGC
rnacentral:rRNA from 1 species